rnacentral:rRNA from 1 species
AGUGAACGCUGGCGGUAGGCCUAACACAUGCAAGUCGAACGGCAGCACAGUAAGAGCUUGCUCUUACGGGUGGCGAGUGGCGGACGGGUGAGGAAUACAUCGUAAUCUACUUUUUCGUGGGGGAUAACGUAGGGAAACUUACGCUAAUACCGCAUACGACCUACGUGUGAAAGCAGGGGAUCUUCGGACCUUGCGCUAUUGAAUGAGCCGAUGUCGGAUUAGCUAGUUGGGGGGGUAAAGGGCCACCAAGGCGACGAUCCGGAGCGGGUCGGAGAGGAGGGUCAGCCACACUGGAAGUACGACACGGCCCAGACUCCUACGGGAGGAGGCAGUGGGGAAUAUUGGACAAUGGGGGCAAGACUGAUCCAGCAAUACCGCGUGGGUGAAGAAGGCCUUCGGGUUGUAAAGCCCUUUUGCUGGGAAAGAAAAGCAGCAGGUUAAUACCCCGCUGUUUUGACGGUACCCAAAGAAUAAGCACCGGCUAACUUCGUG